rnacentral:ncRNA from 20 species
GGAAGCAGGUGAAAGUCCUGCGCGGCCCCGCCACUGUAACCCCUGACGAAGCGGUAUUACGCUCACUGAAGGUCUUGUGCCCUUUGGGAAGAGUCCGCGCAGGAAGAAGGGGAGUCAGGAUAC